GUCAGCAGCCGGGGAGCGGCGGGCCCGGCGUCCCCAGCCCCGAGAGGUGCAGGGCUCGCAGCCCCGGGGCGGAGGGGGCUCGGGGAGGGGACAGAGAAGCCGAGCGGAGACGACGGGUGUCCUCCGGGAGGGGGGCACCCGGUCCAGGCAGGGGGCACCGCCGGGUUGCGGAGGGAAGCGCUUCCGGGCUUCUUCCGGGUGCGGUGCGCUGACCUACAGGAGCCUCCCAGAUGGAGAGUCUUCACCCUGCAGGAUGCCUGCUGGCGGCGGGCCGGUGGGUCAUGCCCCGGAUGAUCCUGGGGCAACAGGAGGACCAAAGCCGACGCUCGGGUCUGCAGAGCCUUGGACAGAGCCGUCGCAGCCCCCGUGGCAGCCUGGCCCAGAGUGUCAACCCAGCCCACACCUGGGCGCUGCCGGGGGAUGGGGUGACUGGGAUUGCUUCCAUACACUGCGGGCGUUCAAGGAACCUCCAUACCCCUGGCCCUCCAAACUCCCCAAACCUUGGGCCCAAAGAACAAACCAACCAACUGUUCACAGCCACAGGCCUGAACACUGAGUGCUCAGGGUCCCUUCCCUGAGCAUCCCAGUUUGCUUUCCAACCAUUUCCCGUCUGGGAUUGGGAUUCCACACCAUAAAUGUUCCUGGGGAAAAAGGCCACUUUCAUCACUUACAAGAAGAUGCUUUUCCAAGGACACUUUCUGUAUCCUAGCGCGUGGCCCAGAGCGAUAGUGCCUUCAACAGAGACUCCACUGGCCGGCAUCGUUGGGCACUCGGCCUCACCUAGGGUCUGUUUUAGGCAGGUAUGGUAAAA